AGGAUGAACGCUAGCUACAGGCUAACACAUGCAAGUCGAGGGCAGCAUGUCUUAGCUUGCUAAGGCCGAUGGCGACCGGGGCACGGGUGAGUAACACGUAUCCAACCUGCCGCCUAUUCUUGGACAGCCUUCUGAAAGGAAGAUUAAUACAAGAUGGCAUCAUGAGUCCGCAUGUUCACAUGAUUAAAGGUAUUCCGGUAGACGAUGGGGAUGCGUUCCAUUAGAUAGUAGGCGGGGUAACGGCCCACCUAGUCUUCGAUGGAUAGGGGUUCUGAGAGGAAGGUCCCCCACAUUGGAACUGAGACACGGUCCAAACUCCUACGGGAGGCAGCAGUGAGGAAUAUUGGUCAAUGGGCGAGAGCCUGAACCAGCCAAGUAGCGUGAAGGAUGACUGCCCUAUGGGUUGUAAACUUCUUUUAUAAAGGAAUAAAGUCGGGUAUGCAUACCCGUUUGCAUGUACUUUAUGAAUAAGGAUCGGCUAACUCCGUGCCAGCAGCCGCGGUAAUACGGAGGAUCCGAGCGUUAUCCGGAUUUAUUGGGUUUAAAGGGAGCGUAGAUGGAUGUUUAAGUCAGUUGUGAAAGUUUGCGGCUCAACCGUAAAAUUGCAGUUGAUACUGGAUAUCUUGAGUGCAGUUGAGGCAGGCGGAAUUCGUGGUGUAGCGGUGAAAUGCUUAGAUAUCACGAAGAACUCCGAUUGCGAAGGCAGCCUGCUAAGCUGGCACUGACAUUGAGGCU
rnacentral:rRNA from 1 species